rnacentral:rRNA from 1 species
CCGGGAAGUAGCUUGCUACUUUGCCGGCGAGCGGCGGACGGGUGAGUAAUGUCUGGGAAACUGCCUGAUGGAGGGGGAUAACUACUGGAAACGGUAGCUAAUACCGCAUAACGUCGCAAGACCAAAGAGGGGGACCUUCGGGCCUCUUGCCAUCAGAUGUGCCCAGAUGGGAUUAGCUAGUAGGUGGGGUAACGGCUCACCUAGGCGACGAUCCCUAGCUGGUCUGAGAGGAUGACCAGCCACACUGGAACUGAGACACGGUCCAGACUCCUACGGGAGGCAGCAGUGGGGAAUAUUGCACAAUGGGCGCAAGCCUGAUGCAGCCAUGCCGCGUGUAUGAAGAAGGCCUUCGGGUUGUAAAGUACUUUCAGCGGGGAGGAAGGUGAUGAGGUUAAUAACCUUGUCAAUUGACGUUACCCGCAGAAGAAGCACCGGCUAACUCCGUGCCAGCAGCCGCGGUAAUACGGAGGGUGCAAGCGUUAAUCGGAAUUACUGGGCGUAAAGCGCACGCAGGCGGUCUGUCAAGUCGGAUGUGAAAUCCCCGGGCUCAACCUGGGAACUGCAUUCGAAACUGGCAGGCUAGAGUCUUGUAGAGGGGGGUAGAAUUCCAGGUGUAGCGGUGAAAUGCGUAUAGAUCUGGAGGAAUACCGGUGGCGAAAGCGGCCCCCUGGACACAAACUGACUCUCUCGUGCGAAAGCGUGGGGAGUAGAAAGGAUGAUAAC